rnacentral:rRNA from 1 species
GUGGGGAAUCUUGCGCAAUGGGCGAAAGCCUGACGCAGCCAUGCCGCGUGAAUGAUGAAGGUCUUAGGAUUGUAAAAUUCUUUCACCGGGGACGAUAAUGACGGUACCCGGAGAAGAAGCCCCGGCUAACUUCGUGCCAGCAGCCGCGGUAAUACGAAGGGGGCUAGCGUUGCUCGGAAUUACUGGGCGUAAAGGGCGCGUAGGCGGACAGCUUAGUCAGAGGUGAAAGCCCAGGGCUCAACCUUGGAAUUGCCUUUGAUACUGGCUGUCUUGAGUUUGGGAGAGGUGAGUGGAACUCCGAGUGUAGAGGUGAAAUUCGUAGAUAUUCGGAAGAACACCAGUGGCGAAGGCGACUCACUGGCCCAAUACUGACGCUGAGGCGCGAAAGCGUGGGGAGCAAACAGGAUUAGAUACCCUUGUAGUCC